AGUGAACGCUGGCGGUAGGCCUAACACAUGCAAGUCGAACGGCAGCACAGUAAGAGCUUGCUCUUACGGGUGGCGAGUGGCGGACGGGUGAGGAAUACAUCGGAAUCUACUUUUUCGUGGGGGAUAACGUAGGGAAACUUACGCUAAUACCGCAUACGACCUACGGGUGAAAGCAGGGGAUCUUCGGACCUUGCGCGAUUGAAUGAGCCGAUGUCGGAUUAGCUAGUUGGCGGGGUAAAGGCCCACCAAGGCGACGAUCCGUAGCUGGUCUGAGAGGAUGAUCGGCAACACUGAACUGAGGACACGGGCCAGACUCCGACGGGAGGAAGAAGGGGGGAAUAUGGGACAAGGGGCGCAAGCCUGACCAGCCAUACCGCGUGGGUGAAGAAGGCCUUCGGGUUGUAAAGCCCUUUUGUUGGGAAAGAAAAGCAGCAGGUUAAUACCCCGCUGUUCGGACGGUACCCAAAGAAUAAGCACCGGCUAACUGCGU
rnacentral:rRNA from 1 species